CCGAAUGGGGAAACCCAGUGUGACUCGUCACACUAUCAUUAACUGAAUCCAUAGGUUAAUGAGGCGAACCGGGGGAACUGAAACAUCUAAGUACCCCGAGGAAAAGAAAUCAACCGAGAUUCCCCCAGUAGCGGCGAGCGAACGGGGAGGAGCCCAGAGCCUGAAUCAGCAUGUGUGUUAGUGGAAGCGUCUGGAAAGGCGCGCGAUACAGGGUGACAGCCCCGUACACAAAAGCGCA
rnacentral:rRNA from 1 species